UUUCCAAGCAAGCUUAUCCUCACUGCUAUCCUCCCGCUACUAAUUAUUACCACUAAUUUGCGUCUCUCUAAAUGAUGGGAAAUGAAAUAGAAAGCUCUUUCCAAAAUAGAGGUGCUAAAGACAUGAUUGUCCACUUACUUUUCUUCACUGAAAAAGCUAGCAUCAUUGGUUUUGGGUUGAGGACCAUCAAGAUGAAUCAAGCACUCACCCAUUGUUGAUGGCAUCAUACUCAGAAGCUAAUACAGUCGAUUCCAAAUUUAGUUCAAUAGAACCUGUUGAUUUUGGCAAUCCAGCAGGUUCAUUGUCAUUCCUACCUUGGUUGUCUAGAAUUCCCUUCUUAUAACCAUCAAAGAGACCAUAACCAUUUGGAAGCUUAGCAUUAGACUUGAAGCAACUCCCAAGGACUCAUCACUCACCAGUAUCAUCAAUGUUAUUAGAGGCUUUUCUCUCAACGGAAACAUCAUGUCUAGUACCUUGUUGCACCCUCACCAAUCUCUCUCUAAAUGAGUUAUGCCAAUGAUUUUUCCUCUAGAUAUAUCUUUCAGAACAACCUCUUCGUCAGGAUCAUUAGGUGCAACAAAAGCCAAUGGAUCAAUUGGCGCAAUCUGAGCAAUCUUUGGACCUUCAAUAAAAGUUUCCCUUUCCUGUACAUGUCAAGUAGUUUACUUUUGGGAUAACAAAAGGUCAGCUAAUAAAACAUUUUUUCCAGGCCCAACGUCACUCCUUUCUACAGGUGUGGCAUCAAUAGGAUUUUGAAAAGGAAGACCACUGUAUUGCAUGGUCACAUUGAAGUUCACCUGCCCUCGACCAGGAGAAAACUCCAAAUUUUAAACUCUCCCCCAAAACCACGAGCAACAUGAUUCACUAUCGACUUAGCCUGAUGAGCUUUGAAAGUGCCAGCUCAAGGGGUUUAGGGGAAUACAAGAGAGAGAGAGGUUUGGUAAACAUGGGGAGAGAGGAGGAGGCGGAAACUGGAAAAGUAAGGAUGGGGUUUAAAAAGGUUGUUUUUUUCAUAUUUGUUUGGAUUAAAAAAUAAAAUAAAAUUAAGGAAGGUUAGUUUAGGGGUUGAAAGAUAGGUUUUUAAAAUGUGCAUCGACAAAGGAAUCCUAAGAAUAAAGGGUAUUAAAAUAUUUUCCCAAUUUCAAAUAACGACUCUAAAAGGCAUAUAUGAUAAUUUCCCAAAUCCAAAAGAAAAGUCUGAAGUCCCCAUCGUAAUUGUUCCAUAAAAAUUCCCCAUCUUCCAUACGAUCGGCUCCUCCAAUCUCUACGCUUCAUCGAAGUAGUUGAAUCGCCGGGAAAAACAACUUCCCGGCGGCUCAUGGUUUACAUGCUGGUCAAAUUUCACCGAAAAUUACGUUGCCGAUCUCCUAGGGUUUUGAGUUGCACAGGGAUUGAGUUGCACAGGGAAUCCCUGAAAUAGCAGAGAUGAAGGUUUAUGGGAGAGCGAUCAACAUCUCUGCAAGUGCUCCAAAGCUGGAGGUCGAUAAUAGGAUUUCCAUUCGCUACUAUUGUCGCAUCUCCGAUAGCCUUCUCAGACAGGCACGUAUUUUUCGAGGAGAGAGGAAUGUCAUUGAUCUAUACAUUAUGCUUCUCAGAUUUUCAAGUUUGGUUUCUGAGACUAUACCAUGCCAUCGAGAUUACCAUUUGUUGCUUCCUAGAGAAAAAAUUCUCCUCAAUACGAAAUUGUUGACUGCUCUAAGUGAAUUAGAGUCUCUAAAGCCAGUUGUUAAGCGUCAAAUUGAGGAACUGAAUGAAAAGGAACAUGGUCAAAUUGAUACAUGGGGGCAUCACCAUGAAGUUACUGCUAAAGAUCCAAUAUUGUCUGUUGAGUGGCCUCCUCUCAAGGUGCAAAGUACUUUCGGACAUGAUCUUCAACAGUCGCACUUGGGUGGCAGGAAUACUGGUUCAUCUCAUGUUCUGAGAAAACCUACUGGAGUUAGCCAAAAUGGUUCAACAUACACGACAGGGAUUGAUAGGCCCUUGAGCAAGCUGUCACUGCAUCUCCCUUGCCCGAAAGAGGAAACUUUGUCUAGACAUUCCAUUUUGGGUCCAAAUGGGCUUCAUGGUUCAUGGCAGGCACCUAUUACUGGUAUUAGGGUCCAUUAUCCAAGCAACAUUGACUCAACUCCCAUUGAAGUUUCUGGCUUGAAUCAGACUGAAGAAUGUGGUUCCUUGGCAAUCAAAGAUGGUGCCUCUGAAGUUAAUGCGUCCAUUAUGGACACAGUUCUCUCCCUCGAUGAUGGUAGAAGGUCCAAUCCUUCAGAGGUGACCUGCUCAGUUUCCACUAAUGACACAGUAGAAGUUACUGUGCAGUCCAAUAUCACCAGGCAACCGUCUCCUCCUCCUGUUCUCGCUCAUGUGCAGGAUUUGGAUCCAAUCCCUCCUUCAAAAGUUGCUGAUCCUAUGCCUGGAGAUGCACAGCUUUUGUCAGAGAGGCUUGCUGAUCCUAAAAGAUAUAUGCAUUUACAUAUCUCAGUAAAUAUAAUGGAAGAGUUUUUGAGGUUGGCGAGGUCGAAUACACAGAAAAACUUAGAAACAUGUGGAGUCCUUGCAGGAUCACUUAAAAACCGAACAUUCUAUGUUACAGCUCUAAUCAUCCCAAAGCAGGAGUCAACUUCUGAUACGUGUCAGACCUCAAAUGAAGAGGAAAUAUAUGACGUGCAGGAUAAGCAAUCCCUUUUCUCCCUUGGAUGGAUUCAUACUCACCCCACACAGUCUUGUUUCAUGUCCUCAGUUGAUCUUCACACCCAUUAUUCAUAUCAGAUUAUGUUACCAGAAGCAAUUGCAAUAGUUAUGGCACCCACCGACACAUCCAGGGGCCUGCAUUGCACUUCUGGAUCAAGCAGCGUUAAGCCUCAGCUUUUGGCCACUAUUCAAAUGCCUGUGGUGGUCAUAUAAAAGCUGGAGUCUGCAUAGGCUAGCAUGCUAGUGUUUAUGAUGCAUGGAAAUGAUUCUGAUGCCUGUUGAGCUGGAGAGGCAAAUAUUUUUAGUAGGGGACAUGGGUUCCAAUUCCUUCCUGUGAAAGUGGAAGGAGAUUUUUAUGCCUAAGGUUGAAGGAGGCCUGUCUAUUGGAAUUUUGGGAGACAAAUAACUAAUGGAGAUGAAUAUGACUCUUUUAGGUGGGCUUUGAGUGUUAUGAGGAGCUCGUGGUUUGCCGAAGCACAAAGCCAUCUAGUAGCAGCUUACCCCCUUCGCCCACCAUACUAUUUCAGCGUAGGCUUCCUUGACUGGUUUGGGCGAUUAACUAAUGAAAUGCGAUGGUGUUGAGGAGAUUUUUUUUUUGGAAAGUGUUGACUCUAUAAAUGAGACACUCACAAGCCUGGUACCCUGUACAAAAACUCAUAUGGGUCAAAAAAAUGGUGGGGGCCCCUGAAGGGUCUCAAAAGUGCUAUACAGCAUAAGCGUAAGCUAAAAGUGUACAAUAAGCCAGGGGUUUCAUGCUCUAAAAGUUGCUCAAAAAGUCCCCCUAAGAGUCUUCCGUCCGUGAGGCUUCCUCCCUAGCAAGGGGUGUCGGCUGUGGCAUUGGCUUCCCUCCAAGUAUGCCUACAUGAGAUUUUUUGUCAAAAAUGCCAUCUAGUCUCUAUGGGCAAUUUGAGGCUUCAGUGGCCCAUGACAACAUUUUUGGAGUCUCCCUCGACGAUCAACAUUGGAAUCCUGGUGGGGUUGAAGCUCCCGAGGCCUUCAAGAAGAGAUAAAGCCUCAGCCGUGUUGGAGUUGGCAUGACUGAUUUAGCGGCGGUAAGAGAAUAGAAUGCUUGCUGUCUUUGUCCCUGAAUAGGCCCUCAAUGCAAGUGGGGCCCGGUUACCCAAGGAGAAACUGUCGAAGUUGAGCUUGGUUUGGCCGGGUUCCGCUGUCUCUAGAGGGAAGUGCGAGAAAUUUGGUGGGGCCUGAGUUGGAGUAGUGCCAACCAGUCAUACUGGAAGUCCGAGUAGGAGCAGUUGCGGUUUUUUACCCAAAAGAUGACUAGGGUCUUGGUCUUGUCUAAGAGCUGUGAUUGAUGACUUGACACUACGGAAAAUUCUGGAAUUUCUUUCGGUCUAGAUAAUCCACAAAGUGGCAGCCACGGCUGCCUGCCAAAGAAGGAUCCCCGACUUCGACCAUGGAGCGGGAGAGGUGGGGUAUCGAUUGUGGUGUAACCCACGACCAAUUGAAGAGUUGCAAGAGGUAUUAUCCUAAGAGGGUUCUAGCAACCUUGCAGUGGAUAAAAAUAUGGAGGGUUGGUUUCAACGUUAUCAGUGCACUUUAAAGGAUUGGGGAGAUUGGAGAGAGUGAGGAACCAUCGGCUUAGUGUUGGAUACCCCAUCUUGGGUGUACCAUACUUUACCCCCUUCGAACCCUCUUGUUGAGCUACCAAACUACAAGGCAACAAGGUAUUAGUAUUUUCAACAAGGUAUUAGUAUUUUCAUUUCGUCUAAGGGGGGAAAACACUAGACAAACCACUCCCAGUUGUGAACUCUUUUCAAAGAGACGGGUGUAGGGUAGGAUACGGGCUAACCCACCCGGAUGUUACCCCAUAGUUUGUUUACCACUCCGCCGGGCAGUAGAGAUAAAAGAGAGAAGAGAUUGAAUCUUCUUUUAUAGAGGACGAGGGAGUUUUAAUGGAGGGAGACUAGUCACCAUGAUCUUCCAACCAAUGCUUGAUUCCCUUCCAUAAUCUCAUCGCUAUGCUCCAGUGAGGAGAAUCUUAUUCCUUUGCAACAUCAACAUCAUCAUAGCUUUUUUCUAAUUAUUUGGGGUCAGUUUCACGAAUCUUGGUCUGCCAUUCUACUCUAUCAAGAGCAAUCUCGAUCAUUCCAGUUAGGGAUUGAAAUCUUAAGUUACAAGAGAUGCAAAUUCCCUAGCAUUGUAGUAUAGUAUAACAAUGCGGGAUAGUCAAGUAGUAUAGUAUACCGGUAAGGUAUAUAUCUUUCAGCCGGCUCAUAUGUACAAGUGCGUCCCCUAUCUAAUUUUCGUCUUAAAGGUGGAGUUUUUAUCCAUAUUUUUAGGGGUUCAUGAUCGAGGCCAAGGUGAUUAUGAAUAUACCCAAAAAAAUAAAAUAAAAUUGAAACUUAAAAUAGGUUCUUUUUUUAAGGGAUUAUUUGCACAUCCAUAAGUUGUUUGGUCCAGCUCACUUUAAGAUGGACGUUCUAAGGUCAGCGGGCUUUUGCGCUCGCUGAUUCAUCUUACAACGUUUUCUUUGAAUAUAGUAGUAGGGUUGAGAAUGGGCUGGAUUUGGUCCGGAUCCCUCGGGAUUCGGUCCGGAUCCUCCGGGAUUUGGAUUCAUAUCCGAAAAGUAUACAUGGGAUCCAAAUCCUGAUCCAGACCUGAAUGGAUAUAAGAAAAAUUAAUUUAUAUAUUAGUUUAUUUAUUAAUUUAUAUCUAUAAAAUACUAUAUAGCAAAAAAUACUAUAUAACAUAUAUGUAUAUAAUAUCUUCAUAAUUGGGUUGGAUCAGGAUCGGAUCUACCUAAACCUAGAUCCGAUCUUAAUUACUAUUUGGAUCUGGAUCCAAUCCAUGGGAUCCAAAUCUUGGAUCCAGAUAGGAUCCAAAUCUUGGAUCCAGUUAGGAUCCAAAUUUCGGGUUUUGGAUCCAAACUGGGUAAAUUCUCAGCCCUAUAUUGUAGCAUCUUGUAUAGUACAUAAAUAUGUAUAGUUGUACAUAGUAAAUUUAAAUAUAGUAGCGUAUAGUGUAGCGUAGCAUAUAGCAUAUUGUGUAGUAUUUAUUAUAUAUAAGUAUAUUAUUGCAUAGGAGUAUUGUAUAGUAUAGUAGUGUACUAUUAUAGUAGUGCUUGGGGCCUUAAUUUUUAACUAGAUGGAGCUUAGUCCUAUAUAAUUUAUCAUUCCAUCUCAAUUAAGUUUGGACCGAGCUUCCCCACAUUUUGGGAUCAAGAUCCCUAGAGUUCAGGACCUGAUCCCUACGAUAGGAAGCUGCCUGCAUGUCAGGAUUCCAUGGUCUUAAUACCAAUACCAAUCCCAAUCUUCGAUCUUAUUUGAUCCCUGAUCCCAAUUUAGAAAAUAGUGUUGGUUUCAGUAUUCUGUAAGUUGCCUCCUAGAUCCUGUCUUUGGAUGGUCGACAUGAACGUUGUGAGGGAGACUAAGUGAAGAUUGGAAGGGGAAUAGAAAUUUGCUUUUGGUGCAUUGGAAUCGCACAACGCGUAGCAUUUUGUGAGAGGGGGAAAUGAGAGGGAGUUCAAUAAGAUAGAUUUGUGGCUUAUUUCAAAUAUAUCUCGGUUUUCAAGCUGUUCUGGGUGGUUUUCAUUGAGAACCCCCCUCCCGAAAGCAGAUUUUUUAGACAACUUCCUCCUAAUCAUUUUUUUUUUCCUCGUAAUUUUUACCCCAAAAUUAACUUUUAUAGUAAAUAUCUCUCAAGUAAAAAUCUCUUAGUUCCAUAGAUCUCUUUGUUUGUACAUGAUGGCGUCACAUUUCCGUAGGACACUUAAUGACCAAAUAUGGUCUGACGCAUAUGCCUACUGGUCCAAUAGGGGGGUGCACUUGGUCCGGCAUAGUAUUUUUUGUCGGUUUGGCAGAAGGUGCUGUCUGUUCAGCAGAAUUGUGUGGUGGUCCGGUAGUAGGUGUAUUGAUCUUGGCCCGACAUGUGAAAUUUUGCUCCGGCAAUGUGUACUGUCGGUCCAACACUCUUUUGCAGCAGUCUGGCAGUGAGCCGACUAGCAUGGGUUGUGUGAUGGAUUGUUCUUAUGACAUGGUACCGGGGAUGUAAAGCCAUUUUGUGUGGACCAUGACAUUUGAGUAAUGAUCUUAUAGGACCCUCCCACACCUAUAAGAAUGGGACCCCUACUGAUUACUGUAGGAUUUCGAUUCAGAUCUCAAGGUAAAAUUUGAAUCCCUCUUCCUUUUUCAUUAGAAAAAUAUUUUUUGUCUCUCUCUCAACGGAGACCCUACUUUUCCCUGAAAAGGCCUACCUAUUAUCAUCAGCAACCAUUAAUCUCUCCUCGACACCUCUCUCUACUUCCUCAGACCUUAACACCAAUACCCACUAACCCUCUUCCUCAACCCCAAAUUUUAAGAAAAAUGUAGAACUUAACCAAGAUUUUAAUUCAAACCAGUAACCCAAUCGCCAGGAUUUCAAUUCAAAACAGUAACAAAAAGCUAGGUUUUCAAUUCAAAUCAUCAGUAAGCCAGGUUUUCAAUUCAAACCAGUAACCUUCCAGACUCAGCUCUCUCUCUCUCUCUCUACUAUGCCAAGCUUUGCAACAAUUUUAAUUGCGAUUUUCUCUCUCCUCAAUCACCGUGCGUCUCCAAAGCCCCAUCCUUCAGGUUCUCUUUUCCAGCCACCUCCUUUUUCUCUCUCCCACAUAUGCUUUAUAAUUUUCUAAGAGAGGGCUUCUGAUACGAGAUAGACAGAGAGGGUAUCCUUUUAGAGGGAGGGGGGGUUCUUGAGAGAGAGAGAGAAACGGUUGGAGUCUCAGUUGAUAGUGAGGGGGCCUUUGCCAAACGAAAGAGGGAGAUGAGUGGAGAGACAUGCAAGCUUAUUGCCAUAUAGAGAAGAAGUGGGGUAUCUGUUGAGAGAGAGAGAGAGAGAGUAGUUUUUAAUGAAAGAAAGAGAAGAAUUUAAAUUUUACCUUGAAAUAUGAAUUCAAAUUUUAUGAUAAUUUGUAGGGAUUUCAUAUUUGUUGGUAUGGGAGGGUCCUAUAAGCUCAUGACAUUUUUAUCUAAAGAAUUAUUCUUUUUAAUUUGGAGGAUAUUUAUUGUAAAAGCUAGUUUUUGGAUAAAAGUUGAGAAAAAAAAAAAAAAAAAA